GGUUAAGUAAAUAAGCGUACACGGUGGAUGCCUAGGCAGUCAGAGGCGAAAAAGGACGUGCUAAUCUGCGAAAAGCGUCGGUAAGUUGAUAAGAAACUUUAUUAACCGAUGAUUUCCGAAUGGGAAAACCUGAUAUAAUAUAUUAUAUCAUCAUUAAGUAAAUUCAUAGCUUAAUGAAGCUAACCAAGGGAACUGAAACAUCUAAGUACCUUGAGGAAAAGAAAUCAAUUGAGAUUCCCUUAGUAGUGGCGAGCGAACAGGGAUCAGCCCAGAGUUAUUAUCAUCUUAUAUAUUAGAAAAAUGGUCUGGAAAGUCCAGCAAUAAAGGGUGAUAGCCCCGUAUUUUAAAAUAUAUAUGCUGUAUGAACUCAAUGAGUAAAACGGGACACGUGAUAUCCUGUUUGAAAAUGGGGGGACCAUCCUCCAAGGCUAAAUACUACUGACUGACCGAUAGUGAACAAGUACCGUGAGGGAAAGGUGAAAAGAACCCCGGUUAGGGGAGUGAAAUAGAACCUGAAACCGUGUACGUACAAACAGUAGAAGCAUUUUUAAAUAAAAUGUGACUGCGUACCUUUUGUAUAAUGGGUCAGCGACUUAUAUUCUGUAGCAAGGUUAACUUUAAUAAGGGAGCCGUAGGGAAACCGAGUCUUAAUUGGGCGUUAAGUUGCAGGGUAUAGACCCGAAACCCGGUGAUCUAGCCAUGAGCAGGUUAAAGAUUAGGUAACACUAAUUGGAGGACCGAACCAACUAAUGUUGAAAAAUUAGUGGAUGAUUUGUGGUUAGGGGUGAAAGGCCAAUCAAACCGGGAGAUAGCUGGUUCUCCCCGAAAGCUAUUUAGGUAGCGCCUCGUAAAUUUGUCUACGGGGGUAGAGCUCUGUUUCGGUUAGGGAUCCGUCCAGGAUUAUCAACCCGAUGCAAACUACGAAUACCGUAGAAUAUUAUUACGGGAGACACACGGCGAGUGCUAACGUUCGUCGUGAAAAGGGAAACAACCCAGACCGCCAGCUAAGGUCCCAAAAUUAUAGUUAAGUGGUAAACGAUGUGGAAAGUCUUAAACAACCAGGAUGUUGGCUUAGAAGCAGCCAUCAUUUAAAGAAAGCGUAAUAGCUCACUGGUCUAGUCAUUUUGCGCGGAAGAUGUAACGGGGCUAAACUAUAUACCGAAGCUGCGGCAAUAAAUUUUAAAAUAUAUUUAUUGGGUAGGGGAGCGUUCUGUAAACCUGAGAAGGUUUAUUGUGAAAUAAACUGGAGGUAUCAGAAGUGCGAAUGCUGACAUAAGUAACGAUAAAGCGGGUGAAAAACCCGCUCGCCGAAAAACUAAGGUUUCCUGUUCAACGUUAAUCGGAGCAGGGUAAGUCGAUCCCUAAAAUGAGACCGAAAGGUGUAAUUGAUGGAAAACAGGUUAAUAUUCCUGUACUAAGAUAUGACUGCGAAGGGGGGACGAAGAAAGCUAGAUUCGCCAGAGAACGGUUGUUCUGGUUUAAACGUAUAGAUGAAAAAGUAGGUAAAUCCGCUUUUUAUAACAUUGAGGCGUGAUAACUAACUAUUAAAAUAGUAAAGGAAUUAAUGCUACACUUCCAGGAAAAGCCUCUAAGCAUUCAGGUUAUAUCAAAUCGUACUAUAAACCGACACAGGUGGUUAGGUAGAGAAUACUAAGGCGCUUGAGAGAACUCGGGUGAAGGAACUAGGCAAAAUAGUGCCGUAACUUCGGGAGAAGGCACGCUGAUAUGUAAGUAAAAAGACUUGCUCUUCUAGCUGAAAUCAGUCGCAGAGAAUAGCUGGCUGCAACUGUUUAUUAAAAACACAGCACUGUGCAAACAUGAAAGUGGAAGUAUACGGUGUGACGCCUGCCCGGUGCCGGAAGGUUAAUUGAUAGGGUCAUCUUUUAUUAGAAAAGCUCUUGAUCGAAGCCCCGGUAAACGGCGGCCGUAACUAUAACGGUCCUAAGGUAGCGAAAUUCCUUGUCGGGUAAGUUCCGACCUGCACGAAUGGCGUAAUGAUGGCCAGACUGUCUCCACCCGAGACUCAGUGAAAUUGAAUUCGCCGUGAAGAUGCGGUGUACCCGCGGCAAGACGGAAAGACCCCGUGAACCUUUACUAUAGCUUGAUAUUGAAUAUUGAUUUUUAAUGUGUAGUAUAGGUGGGAGGCAUUGAAGUAUAAAUGUCAGUUUAUAUGGAGCCAAUAGUGAAAUACCACCCUUUAAUAUUUGAUAUUCUAACUCAGAUCCGUUAUCCGGAUCGAAGACAGUGUCUGGUGGGUAGUUUGACUGGGGCGGUCUCCUCCUAAAAAGUAACGGAGGAGCACAAAGGUUAGCUAAUCACGGUCGGAUAUCGUGAGGUUAGUGCAAAGGCAUAAGCUAGCUUGACUGCGAGAGUGACAGCUCGAGCAGGUGCGAAAGCAGGUCUUAGUGAUCCGGUGGUUCUGUAUGGAAAGGCCAUCGCUCAACGGAUAAAAGGUACUCCGGGGAUAACAGGUUAAUAUCGCCCAAGAGUUCAUAUCGACGGCGGUGUUUGGCACCUCGAUGUCGGCUCAUCACAUCCUGGGGCUGAAGUAGGUCCCAAGGGUAUGGCUGUU
rnacentral:rRNA from 1 species